GACGAACGCUGGCGGCGUGCCUAAUACAUGCAGGUAGAACGCUGAAGGAGGAGCUUGCUUCUCUGGAUGAGUUGCGAACGGGUGAGUAACGCGUAGGUAACCUGCCUGGUAGCGGGGGAUAACUAUUGGAAACGAUAGCUAAUACCGCAUAAUAUUGACUAUUGCAUGAUAGUCAGUUGAAAGGUGCAACUGCACCACUACCAGAUGGACCUGCGUUGGAUUAGCUAGUUGGUGGGGUAACGGCUCACCAAGGCGACGAUACAUAGCCGACCUGCGAGGGGGAUCGGCCAGACUGGGAGUGAGACACGGCACAGAGUCCUACAGGAGGCAGCAGUAGGGAAUCUUCGGCAAUGGACGGAAGUCUGACCGCGCAACGCCGCGUGAGUGAAGAAGGUUGUCGGAUCGGAAAGCUCUGUUGUAAGAGGAGAACGAGUGUGAGAGUGGAAAGCUCACACUGUGACGGUAUCUUACCAGAAAGGGACGGCUAACUACCUG
rnacentral:rRNA from 1 species